rnacentral:misc_RNA from 1 species
AACAAGGCGUACCUGCGGACCUGCGGAGGGAUCAUUACCGAGUUUACAACUCCCAAACCCCUGUGAACAUACCAAUUGUUGCCUCGGCGGAUCAGCCCGCUCCCGGUAAAACGGGACGGCCCGCCAGAGGACCCCUAAACUCUGUUUCUAUAUGUAACUUCUGAGUAAAACCAUAAAUAAAUCAAAACUUUUAACAACGGAUCU